rnacentral:rRNA from 1 species
CAGCGGCGCAGCCGUGACAAACCAACCUGACACAUACCACCAGAGCUACAGGGAUAGACCCACCCGAAGAAUCCCUCUAACUGCCGGCAUAGUCUCCGUAAGAGUAGAAGCGGUUUGGGUGUUGGGAGGGGACGUGCGGGCUUAUCAGACUUGUUGGUAGUGUGAUGACUACCAGGACAGGGGACCGCUAUCUGGUGUGAUGAUACCCCCAGACAAAUGGGAGUGAGACACGGUCCAUACUCGUACGGGAGACAGCAGUGAGGAUCUUCCGCAAUGGGCGAAAGCCUGACGGAGCGACACCGCGUGGAGGACGAGGCCUUUUGGUUGUAAACUCCUGAUCUGGGGGAAUAAAUGAUGAAGGUCCCCAGGAAUAAGCACCGGCUAACUAAGUGCCAGCAGC